UACAGAGGUCUCAAGCGUUGUUCGGAUUCAUUGGGCGUAAAGGGUGUGUAGGUGGCGCGCUAAGUCGGGUGUGAAAUUUCGGAGCUUAACUCCGAAACUGCAUUCGAUACUGGCGUGCUUGAGGACUGGAGAGGAGACUGGAAUUCAUGGUUUAGCAGUGAAAUGCGUAGAGAUCAUGAGGAAGACCAGUGGCGAAGGCGGGUCUCUGGACAAUUCCUGACACUGAGACACGAAGGCCAGGGGAGCAAACGGG
rnacentral:rRNA from 1 species